rnacentral:rRNA from 1 species
UUCCACCUCUUCCCAUUCCGAACAGAGAAGUUAAGCCUCACCACGCCGAUGGUACUGCGUCACAGUGGGAGAGUAGGUAGCCGCCGUUU